UUCCGCGGAGGUAGCCCUUUCCUGCCAGCAGCGCAGCGGAAACAAUAUCUGCUGCUGGUCUGUGCUGCUGUCCACUACUACCUUGGCCCGCUGCUGCCACUCUGGCGCUGCGAAGUCUGUAACGCUGCUCCCUCUUCCCCGUCUUGGGAUGGCAAGUACCAAAAAUUCAUUCUACGAUACUCGAUGCAGCCACUAGGUGACAGUGAAUGCAAUCAAAACCCAUGCCACUGGUGAAGAAGUAUAUUGAGCCCUGCCUGCCCCAGUGAGGUUACUAGAGAAUUAGGAGAGGCUCAAAUCAGCAUCUUGUGUGUGGUUGUCAAACCAUUCUGAAGCCUUGAUAGGACAGUUGGAUGUCUUUCUCAACAUUGUAGCUAGUUGGUGUCGAAAAUGGAUUUGAAUCUAAACCAGUACUGUACUUCCUCUAGACUACAUCUAAGUCCAGGAAGGCCAUGUGAGACAGAACAUUUUUAUUCCACACUAAAAGAUUUUUAUAAUAGCCUCUGAAAUUGUGCUCCACUGAUGAAGGAAAUUUCCAUGGUGUAAAACUUUAUUGUGCAUAAAAUCACCUGGGGUGUUUGUUAAAAAUGCAGAUUCCUAGGCAGCCAGAACUUGUCAUUGGUCAAGAGCAACACUAAAGCCUACCUGUCACUAAUACUGAGGCUUUCUGGUCAGUGAGUUCCAGCAAGCCACAGUGAAUCACCAUUGCUUUGGAUGUUCUUGUGAGGCAGUUGGGAAGCCUUUGGCUAAAUUGUAAAGGAUAUCUUUGACAAGCAUUUUCAGAGAGUUCACCAGAUCUUCCAUGUGAAUGAACGUGCAGCAGGAAAGGGGUCCUCAGUGAUUAAGAUUUAGAAAGAAUUAAUCCUUCCAUUGAAAUCUCAAAAUGUGAUCUGGAUAAAGGAAUGGGUAUCUUAGUCAAGGAAGUGAUUGUUGAAUGUGGAGGAGCUGCAAUUUGCAAAUGCCUGCAGAGUUCAGAUGGGGUAUGUCAACAUAAGAAACAUUCAAACCCGUGGAAAAUUUUUGUGAAUUUAUUUGAGCCAAACUGACGACAACUGCUGAGAAGCAAAACCACAACGAAUUGAGAAAAUGCUCCGGAGAAUGGCAGUUUUGCACCUUAUUUUAUACAUCACAAUCAAAAGGGGAGGUGUAAGGGGGUUACAUGAAGUCCACUGGUGAUAGAUUAGGGAGGGGGGAGAAAGCAAAGUGGGGAAACCUCUGGGAUUGGAUAAAAGAUAAAAUGAUAGACACAUAUUUCUUACACUGGGGGGUACAACAUAGUUAACAGUCAACAAUUAACAUGAUAAGAGUAACAACAAGGUGAUUUGUGGUCUCCCCAUGGUGCUGUGCCUGUGCUUUGAGGCCCCGGUAAAAGGAAAUUUGACAUUCCAAAGGUCUGUUAGCAUAGAUGCAAAAAGUCAACGGACAGGCUCAGUUAAGGUAAAGAUUAACCUUUGUUAGAAAAAAUACCCGCCUAGGACAUGAUGACCCACCAUGAACUGCUUUUAGUUAGAAAGUUUUAAUUUCAGACCAUCUUACGUGGUUACUUUAAGUUUCUGAGUUUGUAAGGCCACUACGCAGGCCUCCCCUGAGCUAGUCAGGUUUAGUGUGGCCCCUUUUCUUCCACAGGCAGAUGUGUAAAAUGGUUCUGAUAUUUAUUUUCUUCCUUUUUCUUGAAACGCUACUUUGGGUUUCUUUUUUAUUGUUGGUUUUAUUUUGUUUUGUGUUGGGCUUUUCUUUUGUUUAUCUACUUUUGAUAGAGACACUGGAAAACAGAUUACUCUUAAAAUGAAAGUAAGAGUGUCAAUGUAAUGGUAAAGAGAAGUUGAUGCUUUUAAGAGAAAUAUAGUAGGCAGUGUUUGGGAUUGUGGUCCACUGGAACAUGCACCUUUCAUCCCAAGGAGAAGGCUUUUUACUCCUUGGCUCCUGCUGAUAGUUGCCCAAUGGAAAUACAGACCAAUAUUGACAGGAUUUCCAGCUUUCUACAAGGAACCUGAUUGUGAGCUGUUAGUUUAAUGUUUUUUUAAUGCCACAGGCCCACACAGUGUGUUUAUAAAUGCUUUUAUAAACUCAUAGCUUUUGCUUCUUUGUAAUUUUGGCAUAUUUGUAGUGUUACCUUUUUCCAAUGUGGUAUGAAACAUGGGUGUUUCAUACUCUGCCUGGACAGUAUUUAAAACUGGGUUACUGUUUUGAAUGGAGUUGUAUAGAUUAGAAUAGAAUAGAUUAGGGAAAAAUAGACUAAUAUAGAAUGUAAAUAAGAAAACACUAGCCUCUACCAGGCAAAGGGUAAGUAGUUGGUGAAAUUUUUGUCACAGCUACAUGUUUGUAUGUAUGUGUAUCUUUGGCCUAAUGUAAUUGUAUUUCUUAUUGUGGAUUAAAUGAUUUUACAAGACUUUAUGAAA